GGUUAAGCGACUAAGCGUACACGGUGGAUGCCCUGGCAGUCAGAGGCGAUGAAGGGCGUGCUAAUCUGCGAUAAGCGCCGGUAAGGUGAUAUGAACCGUUAUAACCGGCGAUACCCGAAUGGGGAAACCCAGUGUGACUCGUCACACUAUCAUUAACUGAAUCCAUAGGUUAAUGAGGCGAACCGGGGGAACUGAAACAUCUAAGUACCCCGAGGAAAAGAAAUCAACCGAGAUUCCCCCAGUAGCGGCGAGCGAACGGGGAGGAGCCCAGAGCCUGAAUCAGCAUGUGUGUUAGUGGAAGCGUCUGGAAAGGCGCGCGAUACAGGGUGACAGCCCCGUACACAAAAGCGCAUGUGCUGUGAGCUCGAUGAGUAGGGCGGGACACGUGGUAUCCUGUCUGAAUAUGGGGGGACCAUCCUCCAAGGCUAAAUACUCCUGACUGACCGAUAGUGAACCAGUACCGUGAGGGAAAGGCGAAAAGAACCCCGGCGAGGGGAGUGAAAAAGAACCUGAAACCGUGUACGUACAAGCAGUGGGAGCACAGGUUUACCUGUGUGACUGCGUACCUUUUGUAUAAUGGGUCAGCGACUUAUAUUCUGUAGCAAGGUUAACCGAAUAGGGGAGCCGCAGGGAAACCGAGUCUUAAUUGGGCGUUAAGUUGCAGGGUAUAGACCCGAAACCCGGUGAUCUAGCCAUGGGCAGGUUGAAGGUUGGGUAACACUAACUGGAGGACCGAACCGACUAAUGUUGAAAAAUUAGCGGAUGACCUGUGGCUGGGGGUGAAAGGCCAAUCAAACCGGGAGAUAGCUGGUUCUCCCCGAAAGCUAUUUAGGUAGCGCCUCGUGAACUCAUCUCCGGGGGUAGAGCACUGUUUCGGCUAGGGGGCCAUCCCGGCUUACCAACCCGAUGCAAACUGCGAAUACCGGAGAAUGUUAUCACGGGAGACACACGGCGGGUGCUAACGUCCGUCGUGAAGAGGGAAACAACCCAGACCGCCAGCUAAGGUCCCAAAGUCAUGGUUAAGUGGGAAACGAUGUGGGAAGGCCCAGACAGCCAGGAUGUUGGCUUAGAAGCAGCCAUCAUUUAAAGAAAGCGUAAUAGCUCACUGGUCGAGUCGGCCUGCGCGGAAGAUGUAACGGGGCUAAACCAUGCACCGAAGCUGCGGCAGCGAACGUAUCACUUAAAGCGAUUCAGCGGGUUACGAUUGACGGAGCGAAGCGACGUCAAAGCGUAUACAAAGUCGAGUCGGUUUAAGGAUACGUUCGUUGGGUAGGGGAGCGUUCUGUAAGCCUGUGAAGGUGUGUCGUGAGGCAUGCUGGAGGUAUCAGAAGUGCGAAUGCUGACAUAAGUAACGAUAAAGCGGGUGAAAAGCCCGCUCGCCGGAAGACCAAGGGUUCCUGUCCAACGUUAAUCGGGGCAGGGUGAGUCGACCCCUAAGGCGAGGCCGAAAGGCGUAGUCGAUGGGAAACGGGUUAAUAUUCCCGUACUUGGUGUUACUGCGAAGGGGGGACGGAGAAGGCUAUGUUGGCCGGGCGACGGUUGUCCCGGUUUAAGCGUGUAGGCUGGUUUUCCAGGCAAAUCCGGAAAAUCAAGGCUGAGGCGUGACGACGAGGCACUACGGUGCUGAAGCAACAAAUGCCCUGCUUCCAGGAAAAGCCUCUAAGCAUCAGGUAACAUCAAAUCGUACCCCAAACCGACACAGGUGGUCAGGUAGAGAAUACCAAGGCGCUUGAGAGAACUCGGGUGAAGGAACUAGGCAAAAUGGUGCCGUAACUUCGGGAGAAGGCACGCUGACACGUAGGUGAAGUGAUUUACUCACGGAGCUGAAGUCAGUCGAAGAUACCAGCUGGCUGCAACUGUUUAUUAAAAACACAGCACUGUGCAAACACGAAAGUGGACGUAUACGGUGUGACGCCUGCCCGGUGCCGGAAGGUUAAUUGAUGGGGUCAGCGCAAGCGAAGCUCCUGAUCGAAGCCCCGGUAAACGGCGGCCGUAACUAUAACGGUCCUAAGGUAGCGAAAUUCCUUGUCGGGUAAGUUCCGACCUGCACGAAUGGCGUAAUGAUGGCCAGGCUGUCUCCACCCGAGACUCAGUGAAAUUGAACUCGCUGUGAAGAUGCAGUGUACCCGCGGCAAGACGGAAAGACCCCGUGAACCUUUACUAUAGCUUGACACUGAACAUUGAGCCUUGAUGUGUAGGAUAGGUGGGAGGCUUUGAAGUGUGGACGCCAGUCUGCAUGGAGCCGACCUUGAAAUACCACCCUUUAAUGUUUGAUGUUCUAACGUGGACCCGUAAUCCGGGUUGCGGACAGUGUCUGGUGGGUAGUUUGACUGGGGCGGUCUCCUCCUAAAGAGUAACGGAGGAGCACGAAGGUUGGCUAAUCCUGGUCGGACAUCAGGAGGUUAGUGCAAUGGCAUAAGCCAGCUUGACUGCGAGCGUGACGGCGCGAGCAGGUGCGAAAGCAGGUCAUAGUGAUCCGGUGGUUCUGAAUGGAAGGGCCAUCGCUCAACGGAUAAAAGGUACUCCGGGGAUAACAGGCUGAUACCGCCCAAGAGUUCAUAUCGACGGCGGUGUUUGGCACCUCGAUGUCGGCUCAUCACAUCCUGGGGCUGAAGUAGGUCCCAAGGGUAUGGCUGUUCGCCAUUUAAAGUGGUACGCGAGCUGGGUUUAGAACGUCGUGAGACAGUUCGGUCCCUAUCUGCCGUGGGCGCUGGAGAACUGAGGGGGGCUGCUCCUAGUACGAGAGGACCGGAGUGGACGCAUCACUGGUGUUCGGGUUGUCAUGCCAAUGGCACUGCCCGGUAGCUAAAUGCGGAAGAGAUAAGUGCUGAAAGCAUCUAAGCACGAAACUUGCCCCGAGAUGAGUUCUCCCUGAGACUUAGAGUCUCCUGAAGGAACGUUGAAGACGACGACGUUGAUAGGCCGGGUGUGUAAGCGCAGCGAUGCGUUGAGCUAACCGGUACUAAUGAACCGUGAGGCUUAACCUU
rnacentral:rRNA from 1 species